UUUAUGAAUUCCUGGCAUGGAAGGCGUUGCUAGUGCUGUCCAGGCUCACCUAUGGAAUUUAUCUCACGCACCUUCUCUUUAAUCUGCUACGCAUGGCCAAUACAAAGACACCGAUAAAUGUGGACGAGUUCUUGCAGCUGAGGAAUUCCAUUGGAACGUUUGGCCUCAGCGUUGCGUUGGCGUACGUGCUGUACAUAAUUUGCGAAGGCCCAACACAGCAGAUAGAAAAAGUUCUCUUCAGGAAGACCGCGACCCCUCGUGCUACAGCUUCUCCUCAAGAAAAUGAAACUGCAACAAAACCAUCCUCUGAUGUUGUCAUCAAUGGCACCGCCUAAACUCAAGGAGUCGCGUUGGUUCUCUCAUUUCACAUGUCCAGAGUAUUGUAAGCACUUGAUUAUUCAAUAAAUUAUAAGGUUACAGAAAUC
rnacentral:lncRNA from 1 species